rnacentral:sRNA from 1 species
AGAAGGAGGAGAAGAA